rnacentral:lncRNA from 1 species
CAUGUUUUUAAAUACCUAAUUUAUACGAAGUAAAUAAAGCGUUUGUAUUUAAAAAUGCCUAUUAGAUUCAUUUUAAAGACAUUUUUUGUUAUGGCAUGGCUAUAUAUUUGAACAGAAUUUCAAUAGCUACAAGUGCUGAUAAUAAAAUUGAGAAUGGAAAUGGGGAAAAUGUGAAAGAGACAACAAUACGAACAAAUAGCAGACAACAACCGAAGCCAGUUAGAAAAUCCCGCACCCGGAGGUGGUCCUCAGGUGGCCCCUAAAUAAAAAGAUGUACUAGUUCAGUGAAAAUGGACGUCACACUAAACUCCAACAUAUAAAUGAACUAAAGUUAACAAAAAAAUAUAUACAAGACUAACAAAGACCAGAUUCUCCUGACUUGAGAUAGGUGCCGCAUAGUCAGCUAUCAACAGAUCCAAACUGUCUUAAAUGAUCACCAGUGCAAUUAGCUUGUGUCCGAUUUAUUCGGAUUUAUGACAUUUUUUUUCAAGAUUUUAUUCAUAACCUCAGCUUAAUCAAUUUCUGCACCUUAUUUUUGGAAAAGCUUGUGUUCAAUUUGAAGGUUAUAACUACGACCCGGAUACACUUACCCAAACGAACAAAAACAUAGUGACAGGCAGAUGAUUAUAAAAAUGCAACCACGC